AAGGUCGUAACAAGGUUUCCGUAGGUGAACCUGCGGAAGGAUCAUUAUUGAGAUAGUCAGAAGCCUAUUAGGUCACCCAAAGCGCUUGAAAUAUUAGCGGAAUGGGCAGUAAUACAAUCGCGAUGACCGUUUGAAUCCAAGGGCAGCUAUCCACCCGGUGUAUAUAUACUCUGUUGCUUUCCGGGCCGUCAUACCCCAGGAGAGAAACCCCUAACUCUUGAAUUUUAACUGGAACGUCUGAGUACUAUAUAAUAGUUAAAAU
rnacentral:misc_RNA from 1 species